ACUGGUUUCACCUUCCACCACAUCAGACACGACUUUCUGUCCUCUCUCCCUAACCCCCUGUCAUGUUAUCUCACAUACAGAAGGAUUUUUAUGGCCACGCCAUAACCAGGAGCAUCCCAGUCACCCAAGUCUCCAUUCCUCCCCUAAGCUCUCAUUUGCUUUUUCCUCCUUGCCCCCUCACAGUGGGCAAAACCACCUCCAGCACUCACUGAGGCAGUUUUCCCCCACACCUCAGAAUGUGCUGUCAUCACAAACUGUCCAGAAGAAACAAUCUGAGGAAGGAUGGUCAUGCAGUGAGCAGGCUCUUCUACUCCCCAGAGAGGAAAAAGGUGUUCGUGCUGCCCCUCUUCCUGCUUCCUCUUGUUCUGCACGUUGCACAUACUUCAAGACUGAGAAUAUGGUUUUCUACACAUCACAUAAUGAGACCUCCACAGUGAUCAGCUUUGCAGCUACAAGGGAAAGGAAGGACAAAGGCUUUGGCACUGAGCUGUUCUGUGGAAGCAGGGCUCCAGAAGCCAUACAAGUGAUGCCAGCGCCAGCAAGCUUCAUGGACACCCUGGUAUCAACCUGCCCCAGGACUCUGGAAGGGCUGAAGCAGUCUGGCAGGAAGCCAGCAAGGCCUGCAUCUCUGCAGAGCGUUUCAGCUGUCUUGCGAUGUUGCUGAGUGGCCCUGGGAGACCAGCUUACUUCUUCCAUCGCAGCUGCCCGUUGACAAGUCAGCAGCUGAGUCUCCCUCUGGUCUUUGAAGACAGGUCUAUGGCAAGAGGAGUGCCCGAAAUGAAGGGAACUUUCUGUCUCUCAGUUCUCAGCAAUGAAAAUAAAUCAAAUUGCAUUAGAUCCCAAGGAUGUCUACCUAAAGGCAUUUUAAAAGGAUACAGAGGUGGGAAAGGUUAUCCAGACAACCUAAAAGUACAGCUUCUCAUGUCAGAAUCAACAGACCUAGGGAAAGAUGAGACACCCCUCUGCAAAGGACAAGUAGCAGAGACAUCCUGUGCCUUCAAAAUAAAGCCUGUGCUGUCGGAGCUUGCCCUAAGGAACUAUCCAGAAUCAGGGCUUUAGUGGUGAGAGUUUUACAGGUGAAUAGAUGAAAACUUUUCUGUCCAGGCUCAAUUUAUUCUUGAUGAGAAGGUUGUCUGUGCUGGAUUUACGUUUUUCUGUAUAGGCAUAGAACAUUUACCCAGCAUCAAUGUCCCUGUAUGCCUAGUGUACUGCACUGACUGUUGGCAUACUACUUUCUCAUAUCCCUUGAAUAUUUCCUACCUUUUUUUUUAUAAUACUUUGUUACCAUGAGCAGGGUGUCCCAUCCCUCAUUUUUGCUAUUUUGCAGCACUGUAGGAUCUUUUGUUAUCAUAAAGAGCAAGGAAGUCUAAAGACAAAGAAAUGAAAACCAAAUUGUCACAGCAAAAUCAAAAUAUGUUAUGGCUACGUCAAAAACAGUUGGGCUGCAGAAUUUGCACUGGCAUCUGUCCUGGGGGAGUCUCUAAAGACCCCACAUGCCCACAUGAUUAAGAUGAAACUAUUGUGGUAAAAUUUGGUCCAAGAAUGCAGGUCCAAUAAUCUGCAAGAUGAAGUGUGUGCAAUUGUUAAAACAGGCCAGAAUUCGGUGGCGUGUUAUUGCUGGCACUCCUUUGAAGAGGAAAUGAGAAUACUUGUGCUCUGCAGAAGGUGGGCUGGUGGGUAGUUGGGUUUCACACCAGGACUGCAACUGUUCUGUUCCUUUGACUGCACAGAGGUGUGUGUGAUGGGAUGGGGAGCGUAUUGCCAGUGCCAUGCUGACUUAGGGCUCGUGUUGGGCCUGAUGGAUGAGACAGAUGGGCUGGGAGAAGGGUCUGUGUCAUGGAGCACUGAUUUGGCAGCAGUCGCUGGAGCUUGGUGAGUGCAAAGAGCCAGUCUCUGGUGCUCACAGAAGGUGCUGUGAUGACUGCUGGCAAAGGCCUCCUCUCUCCUUAGCAAGAAGUGAAACUCAGGACAGGCACAGCAAAGCACUGGUGGCUACUGGCCAACAUCCUUUGAGUCUGUCUGGAAGGAGCACUACUGGUCCAGACGGGGCUGGUUUUGCUGGUCCUUGCAGCAAAUAUCGUCUUUGUUCAGCCUGCUAGAAAGUUAGACAAGCUGUUCAAAUGACCUUGGCAGCUCUGGAGUACAGGUGCCAUCACUGGACUGAGACUAACCAUUAACUUCAAACAGUCCAAGCAGCCUUUAUAGUUAUAAAGCCUCUAAUUUCACUGCAGACACAGCAAAUGGAGCCUGAUAUCACAUUGUGUGAAGAUCUUUCAUCCAGCAAAUUUGUCCGGGCAGUCUACGUGAGCUGCCACAAAAGAAAUUCCAAUUAGGCAUUAGGGAAAAAAAAAAGCAUGAUGAACAACCAUCAUGAACAAACAGUGGAGCAAGUGACCAGAGGGGCUGGGGAGACUCCUUCCUUGAAGAUAUUCAAAAUGCAAUUAAACACAGCCCUAAGCAAUGUGGUGGAAGUUUUCCGAGCUCCAAGCAAGGAUUGGACCAGGUGAUCUCCAGAGAUCCCAUCCAACCUAAAAGAUUCCAUGAUUCUGUAAUUCUUCUAUAAUUUCUUAGAGACUCAUGAUAAAAUUGCCUAGGCUUGAAGAUGACUGCUUGGGGAUAGUGGGGCAUCCCUGUACUUCUUUAGAUAGGUUCAGCCUUAGUGAAUGCUUAUCCGUCCCAAAGGCAGUUAUACAAUGAGAAGAAGGUCUGCGGUAAAAUGACUGCAGUAAAACAAAUAAAAAUUAUGCCACUUGGGAGAAUCA
rnacentral:lncRNA from 1 species